UUUUUUUUUUUUUUUUUUUUUUUUUACCUCCAAUCU
rnacentral:ribozyme from 13 species